rnacentral:rRNA from 1 species
GCGUGCCUACGGGACGCAGCAGUCGGGAAUCAUUCACAACGGGGGAAACCCUGAUGGUGCGACGCCGCGUGGGGGAAUGAAGGUCUUCGGAUUGUAAACCCCUGUCAUAUGGGAGCAAAUUAAAAAGAUAGUACCACAAGAGGAAGAGACGGCUAACUCUGUGCCAGCAGCCGCGGUAAUACAGAGGUCUCAAGCGUUGUUCGGAAUCACUGGGCGUAAAGCGUGCGUAGGCUGUUUCGUAAGUCGUGUGUGAAAGGCGCGGGCUCAACCCGCGGACGGCACAUGAUACUGCGAGACUAGAGUAA